rnacentral:rRNA from 1 species
AGUGAACGCUGGCGGUAGGCCUAACACAUGCAAGUCGAACGGCAGCACAGUAAGAGCUUGCUCUUACUGGUGGCGAGUGGCGGACGGGUGAGGAAUACAUCGGAAUCUACUUUUUCGUGGGGGAUAACGUAGGGAAACUUACGCUAAUACCUCAUACGACCUACGGUUUAAUCCAAGGGUUCUUGGACCUUUCGCCGUUUCAUUUGGCCGAUGCCGGAUUACAUAGUUGGGGGGGUAAAGGCCCACCAAGGCGACGAUCCGUAGCUGGUCUGAGAGGAUGAUCAGCCACACUGGAACUGAGACACGGUCCAGACUCCUACGGGAGGCAGCAGUGGGGAAUAUUGGACAAUGGGCGCAAGCCUGAUCCAGCCAUACUGCGUGGGUGAAGAAGGCCUUCGGGUUGUAAAGCCCUUUUGUUGGGAAAGAAAAGCAGCAGGUUAAUACCCCGAUGUUCUGACGGUACCCAAAGAAUAAGCACCGGCUAACUUCGUG